rnacentral:rRNA from 1 species
AGUGAACGCUGGCGGUAGGCCUAACACAUGCAAGUCGAACGGCAGCACAGUAAUAGCUUGCUCUUACGGGUGGCGAGUGGCGGACGGGUGAGGAAUACAUCGUAAUCUACUUUUUCGUGGGGGAUAACGUAGGUAAACUUACGCUAAUACCGCAUCCGACCUACCGUUGAGAGCAGGGGAACUUCUGACCUUGCGCGAUUGAACUCGCCGAUGUUGGGUUAGCUAGUUGGCGGGUUAAAGACCCACCCAGGCGACGAUCCGUAGCUGGUCUGAGUGAAUGGUCAGCCGCAUUGGAGGGGGGACACGGUCCAGACUCCUACGGGAGGCAGCAGUGGGGAAUAUUGGACAAUGGGCGCAAGCCUGAUCCAGCCAUACCGCGUGGGUGAAGGAGGCGUUCGGGGUGUAAAGACCUUUUGUUGGGAAAGAAAAGCAGCAGGUUAAUACCCCGCUGUUCUGACGGUACCCAAAGAAUAAGCACCGGCUAACUUCGUG